rnacentral:rRNA from 1 species
GACAGAGGGUGCAAACGUUGUUCGGAAUUACUGGGCGUAAAGCGAGUGUAGGCGGUCCUCUAAGUCGGGUGUGAAAGCCCUGGGCUCAACCCAGGAAGUGCACUCGAUACUGCGUGGCUCGAGUACUGGAGAGGUUGGUGGAAUUCUCGGUGUAGAGGUGAAAUUCGUAGAUAUCGAGAGGAACACCGGUGGCGAAGGCGGCCAACUGGACAGAUACUGACGCUGAGACACGAAAGCGUGGGGAGCAAACAGG